rnacentral:lncRNA from 1 species
CGCGAUCUCAGCUGACUGCAACCUCCGCCUCCCAGGUACAAGCCAUUCUCCUGUCUCAGCCUCCCAAGUAGCUCGAAUUACAGGCAUGCGCCACCACGCCUGCCUAAUUUUUUGUAUUUAGUAGAGACAGGAUUUCACCAUAUUAUGCUGGUCGCGAACUCCUGACCUCCGGUGAUCGACCCGCCUCAGCCUCCCAAAGUGCUGGGAUUAAGGCGUGCGCCACCGCGCCCGGCCCCUGCUAUAAUCUUUUCAGAAUUCGUCUGCAAGGUCUUCAACACUGUUACCCUGAACACACUUCCGGCAUGAAAUAUGAAUGCCCUACAUUUCUUAAAUUGUGCAUCUAACAAUGGAGAAGAUUAGUCUCUAAAAAUUAUAAUUCCCUUAGGAACGAUUUAGUAAACCUGGUGAAUUACUCGAGCAGAGCGCCUGUCCACCACUUUAAGGCUUCAAGCUCCAGCCCGACGCCCCUCCUUCCCUCUCCACGCCCUUCCCUGACAAGGCUUGAGUGGCGGGCGAGAGCAGGGCUGGGCGGGGCCUCCCG